CCUACGGGGGGCAGCAGUGAGGAAUAUUGGUCAAUGGGAGAGAUCCUGAACCAGCCAAGCCGCGUGAGGGAAGACGGCCCUAUGGGUUGUAAACCUCUUUUGUCGGAGAACAAAACCCGGGACGUGUCCCGGACUGCGUGUAUCCGAAGAAAAAGCAUCGGCUAACUCCGUGCCAGCAGCCGCGGUAAUACGGAGGAUGCGGGCGUUAUCCGGAUUUAUUGGGUGUAAAGGGUGCGUAGGCGGUACGUUAAGUCAGCGGGAAAAUUGCGGGGCUAAACCCCGUCGAGCAGUUGAAACUGGCAGACUUGAGUUGGCGAGAAGUACGCGGAAUGCGCGGUGUAGCGGUGAAAUGCGUAGAUAUCGCGCAGAACUCCGAUUGCGAAGGCAGCGUACCGGCGCAAGACUGACGCUGAGGCACGAAAGCGUGGGGAUCGAACAGGAUUAGAUACCCUAGUAGUC
rnacentral:rRNA from 1 species